rnacentral:rRNA from 1 species
AACCUGUCUUUGGAAGGGGGAUAACCCGGGGAAACUCGGGCUAGUACCGCAUAACAC